CAGGCCUAACACAUGCAAGUCGAACGGUGGCAGCAAUGUCAUAGUGGCGCACGGGUGCGUAACACGUAACUAACCUGCCCAAGACUGGGGGAUAGCCCGCCGAAAGGCGGAUUAAUACCGCAUAAUAUCUUUUACUGGCAUCAGUAGUAGAUUAAACCUGAGGGGGUCUUGGAUGGGGUUGCGGGUCAUUAGCUAGUUGGUAAGGUAACGGCUUACCAAGGCGACGAUGACUAGGGGAGCUGAGAGGCCGGUCCCCCACACGGGCACUGAGAUACGGGCCCGACUCCUACGGGAGGCAGCAGUAGGGAAUAUUGGGCAAUGGGCGAGAGCCUGACCCAGCCAUGCCGCGUGCAGGAAGAAGGCUUUCUGAGUCGUAAACUGCUUUUGAUAGGGAAGAAUAAGCACGACGUGUCGUGUGAUGACGGUACCUACAGAAUAAGCACCGGCUAACUCCGUGCCAGCAGCCGCGGUAAU
rnacentral:rRNA from 1 species